GCAUAUCAAUAAGCGGAGGAAAAGAAACCAACAGGGAUUGCCUUAGUAGCGGCGAGUGAAGCGGCAAUAGCUCAAAUUUGAAAUCUGGCGCCUUCGGUGUCCGAGUUGUAAUUUGAAGAAGGUAUCUUUGGUUUUGGCUCUUGUCUAUGUUCCUUGGAACAGGACGUCAUAGAGGGUGAGAAUCCCGUGCGAUAAGAUGCCCAAUUCCAUGUAAAGUUCCUUCGACGAGUCGAGUUGUUUGGGAAUGCAGCUCUAAGUGGGUGGUAAAUUCCAUCUAAAGCUAAAUAUUGGCGAGAGACCGAUAGCGAACAAGUACAGUGAUGGAAAGAUGAAAAGAACUUUGAAAAGAGAGUGAAAAAGUACGUGAAAUUGUUGAAAGGGAAGGGCUUGAGGUCAGACUCGGUUUACCGGGCCAGCAUCAGUUUGAACGGCAGGAUAAUGGCGUAGGAAUGUGGCUCCACUUCGGUGGAGUGUUAUAGACUGCGUUGAUACUGCCUGUUUAGACUGAGGACUGCGUCUUUGACUAGGAUGCUGGCAUAAUGACCUUAAGCCGCCCGUCUUGAAACACGGACCAAGGAGUCUAACGUCUAUGCGAGUGUUUGGGUGUAAAACCCGUACGCGUAAUGAAAGUGAACGUAGGUGAGAUCCCGCA
rnacentral:rRNA from 1 species